ACUUUCAACAACGGAUCUCUUGGUUCCGGCAUCGAUGAAGAACGCAGCGAAAUGCGAUAAUUAAUGUGAAUUGCAGAAUUCAGUGAAUCAUCGAGUCUUUGAACGCACAUUGCGCCCUCUGGUAUUCCGGAGGGCAUGCCUGUCCGAGCGUCAUUGC
rnacentral:rRNA from 1 species